AGUAUCUGGCCAGCAAGCUGUCAGUAGCCACAGCUUUCACACGCUCAUCAUUUGUACAAAUACAGAAGUAUCUUUUAUGAGUGACCAGGAGCUGAUCUACACUGCUAUGUCCAUAAAUAGGGCUCUUGGCAAAAGACCUCACCUCUAGCCUCACACGCCUGUUCACAACAGUCAUCGUUGGGAGAACAGAAUUACGAUCUACGUGAAGGAGUGUGAGCUAGAGAGGCAGUUGUCACCUGGAUGGGUGAAAAAGAAGUGGGAGAACUAUAAGCAAAAAUACACGGUGUGGAGUUGAAAGCUCCCCCCACCGGAGUCAGCACAGAGGGAGGGGAGGGCACAGCCGCAUACUGGAAGUGGUAUGUGGUGAUGGAAUAGGUGCGGCAGGAGCUGCAACUCCAUCACCCCACCUGUCAUCUUCUCCUCUCCAUCCCAGAAGGGUCCAGAUGUGGAGGAGGAAGAAGUAGGUGACUGCCAGAGGGGCACGCUUUAUUGCCAUUUUAGAGGCCAUUAUUAAGAAGUCGUUUACGUAUUUUGUAUGUAUUUUAU